GAUGAAGAACGUAGCAAAAUGCGAUAAGUAAUGUGAAUUGGAGAAUUCAGUGAAUCAUCGAAUCUUUGAACGCACAUUGCGCCCGCCAGUAUUCUGGCGGGCAUGCCUGUUCGAGCGUCAUUUCAACCCUUAAGCCCCCGGGUUUGGUGUUGGGGAUCGGGCUGUACUCCAGCCCGGCCCCGAAAUCUAGUGGCGGUCUCGCUGCAGCCUCCAUUGCGUAGUAGCUAACACCUCGCAACUGGAACGCGGCGCGGCCAAGCCGUUAAACCCCCAACUUCUGAAUGUUGACCUCGGAUCAGGUAGGAAUACCCGCUGAACUUAAGCAUAUCAAUAAGCGGAGGA
rnacentral:misc_RNA from 1 species